AUUGAACGCUGGCGGCAGGCCUAACACAUGCAAGUCGAACGAGGGGCGGACGGGUGAGUAAUGUCUGGGAAACUGCCCGAUGGAGGGGGAUAACUACUGGAAACGGUAGCUAAUAACGAAUACCAUCGGAGGUGCGCAGAGGGGAUUAGCUAGGAGGUGGGGUAACGGCUCACCUAGGCGACGAUCCCUAGCUGGUCUGAGAGGAUGACCAGCCACACUGUAACUGAGACACGUUCCAGACUCCUACGGGCGGCAGCAGUGGGGAAUAUUGCACAAUGGGCGCAAGCCUGAUGCAGCCAUGCCGCGUGUAUGAAGAAGGCCUUCGGGUUGUAAAGUACUUUCAGCGAGGAGGCGUUACUCGCAGAAGAAGCACCGGCUAACUCCGUGCCAGCAGCCGCGGUAAUAC
rnacentral:rRNA from 1 species